GAUGAACGCUGGCGGCGUGCCUAAUACAUGCAAGUCGAGCGAAUGGAUUAAGAGCUUGCUCUUAUGAAGUUAGCGGCGGACGGGUGAGUAACACGUGGGUAACCUGCCCAUAAGACUGGGAUAACUCCGGGAAACCGGGGCUAAUACCGGAUAACAUUUUGAACCGCAUGGUUCGAAAUUGAAAGGCGGCUUCGGCUGUCACUUAUGGAUGGACCCGCGUCGCAUUAGCCAGUUGGUGAGGUAACGGCUCACCAAGGCAACGAUGCGUAGUCGACCUGGGAGGGUGAUAGGCCAGACUGGGACGGAGACACGGCCCAGACUCCGACGGGAGGCAGCAGUAGGGAAUCUUCCGCAAUGGACGAAAGUCUGACGGAUGAACGCCGCGUGAGUGAUGAAGGCUUUCGGGUCGUAAAACUCUGUUGUUAGGGAAGAACAAGUGCUAGUUGAAUAAGCUGGCACCUUGACGGUACCUAACCAGAAAGCCACGGCUAACUACGUGCCAGCCGCCGCAGUAA
rnacentral:rRNA from 1 species